rnacentral:tRNA from 1 species
GGUAAAAUGGCUGAGAUUAAGCAAUAAAUUGUAAAUUUAUUUACGGAAAAUUAUUUUCCUUUUAUCA